CACCGCGUAGCUCAGUUGGAAGAGCAUUGGGCUAGUAUUCCAAAGGUCGUAGGUUCGAAUCCCACCGCGGCCG
rnacentral:tRNA from 1 species